rnacentral:rRNA from 1 species
CCCUUAGAUGUUCUGGGCGGCCCGCGCACUACAUUGGCACUCUCAAUAAGUUCCUAGAUCUAAAACUUUGGGGUAUUCUAUUAAGUGGUGUCGUGACUGGGAUUAACCCUUGCAAUUAUUGGUUGCGAACGAGGAAUUCCUUGUAAUCGCGGUUUAUCAGCCCGCGUUGAAUGCGUCCCUGCCCUUUGUACACACCGCCCGUCGCUCCUACCGAUGAAUCGUCCGGUGAAGUUCAUGGAGUGGUGGUUGUUCCAGCUGCUGUCGAAGUGAAAUGGACCUCACGAUUUAGAGGAAGGAGAAGUCGUAACA